rnacentral:rRNA from 1 species
CAGCCGCCGCGGUAAAACGAAGGGGGCUAGCGUUGCUCGGAAUGACUGGGCGUAAAGGGCGCGUAGGCGGCGAUCAAAGUCAGGCAUGAAAUUCCUGGGCUCAACCUGGGGGCUGCGCUUGAUACUUGGUUGCUUGAGUGGGGAAGAGGGUCGUGGAAUUCCCAGUGUAGAGGUGAAAUUCGUAGAUAUUGGGAAGAACACCGGUGGCGAAGGCGGCGACCUGGUUCAUGACUGACGCUGAGGCGCGAAAGCGUGGGGAGCAAACAGGAUUAGAUACCCGUGUAGUCCCUGUCUCUUAUAC